ensembl:lncRNA
CACCAGCCUGCGCGCGGCGAGGAGGAGAGAGAGAGCCGAGGGGAAGAGAUGACUCGCGAGCAGGACUUAUCCGAGUGAGGAGCUGAACACAGAGAGGGACCCCAUCAUGGAAGAGGAGCUGCCCGCACCUAAGGAUGCAAUAAGUGUCUGUCGUUUCUGCGCGGCAGGAUCGAAAUCAGAUGACGCAGAACAGCGAGGUGGAAACGUGUCACGUCCCUCGCAGGACAGGAGGUCUGUUUCUGUCUUUGGUUAUCUAGCUGUAUGAGUUUUAAAUCCCUGUCAUAAAGCUAGAUAACCGAAAGUAGAAAUGACUUCCAUUACUGACGUCUACAGACUGCAAGAGGAUUGAUGCUGUCUCCAAAAGCUCCUCCAGGCCUUCAGCCUCCCAUGGCCACAGCAGACCCCUCAGAGCGAGGGAUGAACCAACACGGUAGUGAGGAAGAAGAAGAAGAAGAAGAGGCAUCGGAGGACGAAAUCCUUCCCGCCCUUUUUCAGCCCUCAACCGCCUCUCAGCAUCAUGGCAUCGCAGCAUCACGGCGUCACGGCGUCCGGCGUCAGGCGUCACGGCAGCGCAGCAUCUGUGCCGCCACCGGGCCACGCGGUCCACGGUGCCAACAGACGGACAAAGACACCCACCCCCCCCCCCCGGCCCGAGCUGGCCCCCGGUUCCCUGCGGACCAAUGGGAGAAGCCAUCUUGGGAGAGGGUUGCCGUGGCAGCCAAGAUGGCUGGGCUGGCACACACGAGUGCCACGAUGGAGCAGAAUGGAGACCUGGUCUGGGAUCUGGUCUGAGAUCUGGGAUAUGGGAUCCUGGAGUCACCCUCAGAGUCCCACCCACUGAUCCAGGAACGGACACAACACCUAUAAUCCAAUGUUUAUUGUACUAUCUGCUCCAAAGUACUGAUGUGUUGGAUUCGGAUUCAUAGACUGCUUUAUCAGUCCAGAGGGAAAUGGAUUCUGACACAAUUUCUCAAAUCAAGAUCGAAAAAAUAAUAAAGAAUAUAAAUAUAAUAGGUAAAAAAAUAUAAACACACAAAAGCCUAAUACUUAUUAUAAUUGCUCAUCUGUUGGGAUAACGAUGAUACAUUAAAUAAUAUAGGAUAUAUUUCAAUGUAUUUUGGAGAAUCUUUUGUUUAUAAUGGAGCUACUACAGAUUCAAGAGCAGUCGGCUCUGAGAGGGAUAUUCAGGAAACACAACAAUUAGCAGUCAUAGUCAAAAGCCAUUGUAAUUGUUUAGUAUUUCUCCUGUAUUUAAAAGAACAGUGUACUGCAUACUUUAAUUCAUGGAUUAAUACCGUUUUUUUUUAUGUUAGAGGAUUCCUAUUCUCUAAAAUAAGAGGAUUAUAUCCUCUUUUUCAUGAAUGAAGUUUUCAACACGGAUGAAUGAAGUGAAUACAGCUGUAUUUAUUUAGCAACAUAUUGCACUGUAAAGAAAUAAAUUGUAAUCUCAGUUAUUUAUUUUCCCAUGCUGUCAAUGCAAUUUAUUGGUUUCGAUGUUUUAUGUUUUGAUUUUGGUAAUUAAAAUACAUAUAUAUGAAAUUUGGUUUCAUCUGCUAUUUUUGUGCUGAAAGGGUGGAGUAUUCAAUUUAUCUAUUGGUUAUUUAUUAGUUAUCUUUUGGAUUUUCACGAGUGUCAAUGCUACCACUUUUCUUUGCCGAGGCUCUAAUUUGGUCAGUUGUAAAAGAUUUGACAAAGCCUCUGCAAUAGGCCUAUGGUAAAUCUAACGAACGUCGCUACACCGUCUGUCUAAGGUUAUGAACAAAGAAACUAAACCCUGGUGACUUUGAACCGGAUAGCCUAGAUUUUGAUGUGCGCCCGAUGUGGGGAAACUACUAAUUCAAAAUUCUUACAUCCAAU